AUUUAAAAAUAAUUUAAAUUUUUUAGUAAAAAAUUAAAUUUAAAUAAAGAUGUAGAAAAUUUAAAGUUUUUAGUAUUAAUUAGAAAAAAUAAAUUAUAAAUGUUUUAUUGUAAAAGUGGUUUAAAAUUUAAAAAAGAAAAUUUAAUUUAUUGUACCUUUUGUAUCAGGGAUUAUUAAAAUAAAGUGUUAUAAUUGAUAUAUCUCGAAUUAAAAAGAGUUAAUUUAAUAUAAUAGUUAAUGUGGAAAAAUUAUUAUGAAUAUUAAAUUAGAAGUGAAAUGUUAAUCGAUUUUUAAGAUAUCUAGUUUUUUAAUAUAAAAAUUUAAUUUUUUUAUAAAUUUAAUUAUAAAUUAUUUUAAAAUUUGUAAUUGUUUUAUAAUUAAGAAUUUAUGGGAUUACCUAUAAAUUUAAAUUAAAUAAUUUUUAAUUUAUUAAAAAUUUAGAGAUUAAAAUUUUAAAAAUUUAAGAGUAUGUAAUAAUUUAUUAAUUUAUGAGAUUUAAUUUUUAAAUUUAUUAAUUUAUUAUUAAAAUAAAUUUGUUAAUUUUAUUUAAUUUAUAAUAAUGAUAAUAUAAGUAUAAAAAAAUGUUAAGUUAAUUAAAUUAAUAAAUUAAUUUAAGGAAUUAAGCAAAAUUAAAAUUCACUUGUUUAUCAAAAACAUGUUUUUUUGAUAUUAAUAAAAAAUUUUCUCUGCCCAAUGAUAAAUUAAAUGGCCGCAGUAUUUUGACUGUGCAAAGGUAGCAUAAUAAAUAGUUUUUUAAUUGAAGACUUGAAUGAAUGAGAGGAUGAAAUUUUAACUGUCUCAAUUUAAUUAUAAAAUUUUAUUUUAAGUUAAAAUUCUUAAAUUAGUUUAAGGGACGAGAAGACCCUAUAGAAUUUAAAAAUUUAAAUUAAUUUGAGAAUUAAAAUUUAUUCUAAUUUGAUUAAAAAUUUUUUUAUUGGGAUGAUAUUAAAAUUUAAAUAACUUUUAAUUAUUUAAUUCAAAAAUUUAUGAAUUAUAGAAUGAUUAAUUAUUAAUAAAAAGAUAAAAUUACCUUAGGGAUAACAGCGUAAUAAAUUUUUAAAGUUCAAAUUAAAAAAUUUGAUUGCGACCUCGAUGUUGAAUUAAAAUAAAAUUUAAGUGAAGAAGCUUAAAAUUUAAGUCUGUUCGACUUUUAAAAUUUUACAUGAUUUG
rnacentral:rRNA from 1 species